rnacentral:lncRNA from 1 species
UCUUUUUGGAAUGCCCUUGAUUUCGACUUGUCUGAUGUCUUCUACUGAUGACACUACUGGGGAGGAUUUGUUGAGGAGACACGUGUCCCCUGCAGGGCUCCACAGCAGGAGGUGUGGUGGCCUCUCUCAUCCCUGGUGAUGGGAACUGUGACCCUGGAGUUCCACUUCCCUUGGAAGACCUCGUGACAGUGGCUGCUGCCUUGGUGCCCCAGCGGGGCCUCCAACUGCCCUGGUUCCUUCACCAUUUAUAACUGGAAUCCUCUGGUUGAGGAGGCGCUUUCUCUGCGUACACAUGGUGGAGGUGAAGAUAUCUGUGUGCUCUCUGGUUGAGGAGGCACUUUCUCUGCGUACACACAGUGCAGGUGAAGAUAUGUGUGCUCUCUGGUUGAGGAGGCACUUUCUCUGCGUACACACGGUGGAGGUGAAGAUAUGUGUGCUCUCUGGUUGAGGAGGCACUUUCUCUGCGUACACACAGUGCAGGUGAAGAUAUGUGUGCUCUCUGGUUGAGGAGGCACUUUCUCUGCGUACACACGGUGGAGGUGAAGAUAUGUGUGCUCUCUGGUUGAGGAGGCACUUUCUCUGCGUACACACGGUGGAGGUGAAGAUAUGUGUGCUCUCUGGUUGAGGAGGCACUUUCUCUGCAUACACACGGUGGAGGUGAAGAUAUGUGUGCUCUCUGGUUGAGGAGGCACUUUCUCUGCGUACACACGGUGGAGGUGAAGAUAUGUGUGCUCUCUGGUUGAGGAGGCACUUUCUCUGCGUACACACGGUGGAGGUGAAGGUAUCUGUGUGCUCUCUGGUUAUCAUCUAGUCAUGCUGCUGUCUAGGUUGCUGUGCAGGGUGUUCAGUGCUAGCCCGUGGGAGGCUCAGCCUCUGACGCCGUCAGACCUGCCUCCCGCACCAGCCUCACUGAUUCUUGUUCAGCAGUUCCUUACUUUUUUGCUCCACAAGAAGUUUCAGGCUCAUCUUGUAUUUCCCUUGCCUCAGCCCUGGAAUUAACCCCUUCUCUAGGGCUCUGCGUGGUGGGGGACGGCACAGGGUCUCGUCCGCAUAAUCUGCAACACUGAGCUUGCUCACUACCGCCUGGUUCCUGAUUCUAGCCACUCGGUGUAUGGCCUAGGACUGUGUGUGUUUACUAAGUCAUGCUCACACAUGUCCGUGUUUAUUUC